rnacentral:rRNA from 1 species
AUUGAACGCUGGCGGCAUGCCUUACACAUGCAAGUCGAACGGCAGCACGGGAGCAAUCCUGGUAGCGAGUGGCGAACGGGUGAGUAAUAUAUCGGAACGUGCCCAGUCGUGGGGAUAACGUAGCGAAAGCUACGCUAAUACCGCAUACGAUCUACGGAUGAAAGCGGGGGAUCGCAAGACCUCGCGCGAUUGGAGCGGCCGAUAUCAGAUUAGGUAGUUGGUGAGGUAAAGGCUCACCAAGCCGACGAUCUGUAGCUGGUCUGAGAGGACGACCAGCCACACUGGGACUGAGACACGGCCCAGACUCCUACGGGAGGCAGCAGUGGGGAAUUUUGGACAAUGGACGCAAGUCUGAUCCAGCCAUGCCGCGUGCGGGAGGAAGGCUCGUGUACG